CCUCGGUUAGUCAGACGUCACAGUGAUGCACUGAUACAGCUGAGAGAUACUGCAGCUGCUGAUGGAGGAUCACAAACAACACAAUGUUUUUUCAGACCUUUCAGAAACAUUAUUUAUUUAUUUUGAUGUACUAAGCAUGUAACAUAAUCUUUAUAUUAUAUAAAUGUUAGUGGUGCUUGGCCCUGCAAAACUUUGCCACAACAAUGUAAUCUAACUGCAGGAAAGUCCGCCACUUUAAUUGCACUUCCAUGCUUCAUCACUAGAUGGCGUGUCUGUUACAUAACUGAGUUCCCUAUCUGUCAGUCACUUUGACGUUGUGUCGAUGUGAUGACACUAGUAUAGUGUUUCUCAACCUUUUUUACUCGAUGGCCUCCUCCUUCACCAGAUCAAUACUGCAGUGCCCCCCUAAGAUGCUUGACAUUUCCUCUUAUACGACUGAGACUCCCAUCUAAAGCCUGUCGGUUCACGUCGUCUCUGAUAACAAGAACUUAAUGCUGUUGGACAGGCUGUCUCUGCUGUACAUGCCACGGACAUGAACGAGAAUAGUCCCGACCCAGCACACAUGCAGGAACUAUGCUCGUCAACCGAUUUAUUAAUAAUUAAUAAUCAUCAAUAAUUAAUAAUAAUAAUGAAAAAGUUUUCAAAAACGUAAUUUCUCUCAUCACUACAGCAAACAUUUUGAACAUGUGUAUGUUUGGCUUUAUAUUCAUUGAUACAUCAGACCAUGUAACAUUGUAUCUGGAAUGGUAAAACAUUGUUGACUUAUCUUAAGUGUCUGAAUUUCUGAGGAACUCUUAUAGCGCUGCAGGACUAGCCUACAGCAAACACUGAACCAGACUAUUAAAUGUUGAGCAAGGGAUCUCAUUGGCUGCAGGAUCAGCAGAGACCAAUCAGCCUGAGUCAUUUGGUAUUGAUGUGAUUGCUUACAGACUGCAUGUAAAGGACCGAUCGAAGCCUGUGCCAUCUUCAGUUUCAUGACUGAACUAGAUUUCUGACAUGACAGUUCUUGGAGAGUUUGUCAUGGUAAUGAAUAUGACAAUGUUAAUGUGUUUGGUCUGCUGCUGUUGAUUAUAUCUGCUGUAGAGUACAGAACUUUCCACUGCCAAAACACACACAACAUGCUGCUGCUGUACGAGCAAACAUGAAUCACCCCAUAGCAGAUCUGGACAGGUGGAGCUGGGGGAGGUGGAGGGUUUCUGAAAGUACACUGCACUGCUACAGCAAACAAUAGACAAGUGUUGAAUGUUGAGCAGCAAGAUCAUUGACUACUGAUACAGCAGGAAUCAUUCAGUUGUGUCCUGUAGAGAAUGAUGUGUAAAUGUGUAUGUCUGACUCUGUAUAUUUACUGUUACUGUGCUUUGGUGAUGUAAAGCCUUUCUUUUAACCCUGUCAGUAAAACUAUUGGACUCUGAAUGUA